GUAGAAAUAAAGCAUUGUCGAUUAAUAUUUUUUAAAUCUAGCUGCAUGUGGUCCCAUUCCUCAGAUGGGUAAAUAAAGUUCAAGUACUUCUAAAAAUGAAACUCAGCAUUGUAAAUGAACUCCAUUUGUGGUCUCCUUCCCCCUAUGGUUAUCCAAUAUCGUAGAGCAAAUAGAUUAUCUUAGAUGUUUUCCUCUUUUCUUUUGAAAAUACAGGGCAGGGGGUCAG
rnacentral:lncRNA from 1 species